AGCGAACGCUGGCGGCAGGCUUAACACAUGCAAGUCGAACGGGCAUCUUCGGAUGUCAGUGGCAGACGGGUGAGUAACACGUGGGAACGUACCCUCCGGUUCGGAAUAACUCAGGGAAACUUGAGCUAAUACCGGAUACGCCCUUUUGGGGAAAGGUUUACUGCCGAAGGAUCGGCCCGCGUCUGAUUAGCUUGUUGGUGGGGUAACGGCCUACCAAGGCGACGAUCAGUAGCUGGUCUGAGAGGAUGAUCAGCCACACUGGGACUGAGACACGGCCCAGACUCCUACGGGAGGCAGCAGUGGGGAAUAUUGGACAAUGGGCGCAAGCCUGAUCCAGCCAUGCCGCGUGAGUGAUGAAGGCCUUAGGGUUGUAAAGCUCUUUUGUCCGGGACGAUAAUGACGGUACCGGAAGAAUAAGCCCCGGCUAACUUCGUG
rnacentral:rRNA from 1 species